rnacentral:rRNA from 1 species
UCACUGUGAGGCGAGAAAGCGUGGAGAGCACACAGGAUUAGAUACCCUGGUAGUACACGCCGUAAGCGAUGAGUUGUAAGUGUGAGAGGGUUUCGCGCCCCAGUAGUCCUGAAGUUAACGCAUUAAGCACUCCGUGGGGGGAGUGCGCGCGCAAGGCUGAAACUCAAAGGAAUUCACGGGGGCCCGCACAAGCGGUGGAACAUGUGGUUUAAUUAGAAGCAACGCGAAGAACCUUCUCAGGUCUUGACAUCCUCUGACAACCCUAGAGAUAGGGGUUCUCCUUCGGGAGCAGAGUGACAGGUGGUGCAUGGUCGUCGUCAGCUCGUCGUCGUGAGAUGUUGGGUUAAGUCCCGCCGACGAGCGCAACCCUUGAUUAGUAGUCACCUCGUUAAGGUGGGCACUCUAAGGUGCUGCCGGUGACAAACCGGAGGAAGGUGGGGAUGACGUCAAAUCAUCAUGCCCCUUUCGACCAGGGCUACACACGUGCUACAAUGGUCGGUACAAAGAGCUGCAAGCCCGCGAGGGGGAGCCAAUCUCAUAAACCCGUUCUCAGUUCGGAUUGUAGUCUGCAACUCGCCUCCAUGAAGUCGGAAUCGCUAGUAAUCGCGGAUCAGCAUUCCGCCGGGAAAUCCUUUCCCGGCCUUGUUCCCCCCCCCCCUCCCCCCCCGGGAAGUUGUUACCACCGAAGUCGGUAGGUACCUUCUGGAGGCAGCUGCCUAG